CUCAGGGUGGCUGAGUGGCAAAGCGCCUGGCUUCAGAACUGGAGGUCCCGGGUUCGAAUCCUGGUACAGACU
rnacentral:tRNA from 1 species